UUAAAUUGAAGAGUUUGAUCAUGGCUCAGAUUGAACGCUGGCGGCAGGCCUAACACAUGCAAGUCGAACGGUAACAGGAAGCAGCUUGCUGCUUCGCUGACGAGUGGCGGACGGGUGAGUAAUGUCUGGGAAACUGCCUGAUGGAGGGGGAUAACUACUGGAAACGGUAGCUAAUACCGCAUAACGUCGCAAGACCAAAGAGGGGGACCCUCGGGCCUCUUGCCAUCGGAUGUGCCCAGAUGGGAUUAGCUUGUUGGUGGGGUAACGGCUCACCAAGGCGACGAUCCCUAGCUGGU
rnacentral:rRNA from 1 species